rnacentral:lncRNA from 1 species
GCACAGCAGUAGCCACCCUGAGGGGCCACUUCAUGCUGCUGUCAGUGGAGCUCAGUGGUGAGCUGGGAGUGUUCCCGGAGAAAGUCUUUGGAAGGAGCACUGGAGUAGGAGUCAGGGAAGCUGAGCUGUCCACCUGAUUCCACCGCGACCUGAGUGACCUUCUCCAAGUCACUUUUCCACUCCGGAACUCAGUUUCUGCUUGGGCAGACGGGACAACCUGCAACCUCUCUAAGUCCCUUUCAACGUUCCUCAGCUCCGCGCUUACAGAGGGUGGAUCUCAGAACCAGAACAAACAGCUGCUCAUUGAGUCCUGAGAGUGCCUGAGUGGGGGCGUCCAAGGAGGCCGUGGUGUGGGCGGAGCAGCUGGUACAGUUUGCACAUGGGCAGUAGGGGACAUUGGUCACUUUGUGGUAUCGUAGCAGAUGGCCAGGGUCCCCUGCACCACGGCGUCUGCAGCACAUGGCUCAACAACUGAAGCCUCAAAACCCAGUGCCCUGCUUUGUGCGGAACAGGGACAACGAUGACAACAGUGCUGGAGGGGCCCAGAGUCCAGUGAGCAUGGCCCUUUUUCAGAAGGACCUGGGGGAGGUGCUGGUGCCUGGACAGAAGUGAAGCAGCCUGCAGGACAUGGGAAAUCAAAUAGGAGCUUCUUGUCCUCUCCAUCUCCUCACGACCACCCCCCACAGGCCCAGCUCCCCAGCCAUCCUGUGUGUGCGUGGGCCUGGGGUGUCUGAGGACUGGCCCCCUCUUCUCCUGUCCUCUUCCGUGUCAGCGGCUUCCACCUCCCCGAGGAUCCCUCCCAUCCUCGCAUCCUUGUCAGGCCUGGCACAGGUAUCGCUCCCUUCCACAGUUUCUGGCAGCAGCGGCUCCAUGACUCCCAGCGGAAGGGUAAGGCUGGAGGCUUCCCAGGUGGCAGGGGCACCAGGGGCAGCGCCUGCCUA